rnacentral:rRNA from 1 species
CAGCAGCCACGGUAAUACGAGGGGGGCAAGCGUUGUUCGAAAUUAUUGGGCGUAAAGGGUGCGUAGGCGGUUUGACAAGUCUUAUGUGAAAUCUUCGGGCUCAACCCGAAGUCUGCAUGAGAAACUGUUGAGCUUGAGUAUGGGAGAGGUGAGUGGAAUUUCCGGUGUAGCGGUGAAAUGCGUAGAUAUCGGAAGGAACACCAGUGGCGAAGGCGACUCUCUGGUCUGUAACUGACGCUGAGGAGCGAAAGCGUGGGGAGCGAACAGGAUUAGAUACCCCUGUAGUCCCUGUCUCUUAUAC